CUCAAAAUAUAUUUUAUUUCUUUGUGAACUAACAGUUUGCUAGAACACUUUGUCAGGGGUCUGGGCACAUGAUUUAUGAUUUAGUUGCAUGAAAGUUUGGACACUUCCUUGUUUUACGCUCCACAGAUCUCCCUUUCUGAGUGGAUAAUAUUCAUUAAUUUUGAAUAUACUCCUCUGUGUUUCAACCCUUAUAAACUGAAUUGAUUAAAUAUUUAGAUUUCCCAGAAUGGUGACACUUCUAAUUUCUACAAGGCAACUCUGAGUGGUUUUUGUAACCCUUUGACUAUUAAAAAAAAAUUUGGGAUUCAGUAGAGUAAAAUAAGCAAGUCAUACUGAAGUAACAUUCAUCGCUUAGGAUUAAAAAUUAUAUGGGAUUUUUCAAUCAAAUAUUUUUAUAUGUGAUUUGAGCAUGACACCCCUGAUUUCCUCCACAGGAAAUACAGUUUUCAAAUGUUUAUCACUUACUUCUACUUGCUUUGGUAAAAGAUUUCAAAACCUCAGUAUGACUACCUAAAAGUAUGUAAGCAAUUGAGAUGGUGCAAAAGGAGAGGACAUUUGCUUUAAGACUUUGCUGAGAACACAUUCCAUCUUGAUAUUUAAGAGCUAAGUUAUUUUUUUCUUCAUAGGCUUUGCACAGCCAUCCGAAAUAACUUUCUAAAGCAAAACAUGUUUCAGACGCCUUUUCAGGAUGGAUUGUAAAUCAGACCAACUUUUGGCUACUAUGCUGGAGCAACAUUUGAAGUUUUUUUCAGUACCUUUUUAAUUUAUAUUUGUCUCAUGUUUAUCUGUUUAAGUACUGUGUGUCUAUCUAUAGCUUCUGUGAGAAGAAAUUGCGGUUGCUCCAUACUGAACACAGCCAGUUCCAACCAGUUCCAAUGGACCCACAGCUGAGUUUCUCAGACAAGAUGGUGGCACUCAAAAAAUGCUCUUAAAAUGGGAUAGAAAAUACUACAGAACAAUUGUGAGACAGAGAAAUGAGAAGGAAGUGUGAAAACAUAGGAACAGCAGAGAGGAACUCUUAAUCUUCACCUUCCCUGCACUACUUGAAGUGGGGAAGUAGAGGGACUGGGAAUGAAACUGUUAACCUAGACUGAGAAAAAUUCGGUUGCAAGGUCUCAUAUCAACCAAAGAAAACUGCAUGAGUGGAUAUAAAAAAUAAUGUGACUCUCCCCUCCAACAGGACAAAAGCAGAUCUUGGGUUUCCUGCAGACAUGGUCCUCCUGCUGUCAGCCUGUACAUCUGCAUGGUCAGUCACAGCAUGAUAGAGCAAGCCUGAAGGACAUGUGGAACAAAGUGCCUGAGGGCACACAAGGUGUAGUCAGCCCUUAGUCCCUGCAGGGUAGCAAGGCAGUCAGCCAUCUGUCCUGAGGGGCAGCAGGCUGGUGGCUGCCACCAUAUCGCUUGGAGCAUCUUUUGUGACCACUCAUCAGCUGCUGCAGAGCCAGAGCCGUAAAGUCACUGUCAGUUUGUACUUCUUUCCCCUCAUGAGGACAUUCACAGUGGUCGAGGCUGGAGUAAAUAUAUGAGUGGGGCACACAGAAGGCCACAUCAUCUGCCAGACCCAUGUCCAGGGCCCUCCUCAUGAUGCAAAAAAGGGAGAAAAGGUACAGUUGUGGAUUAAUUACAACUGUUUUUCCCAGCUGAUACAGCACUGGACUUAUUCACAGGAAAAAAAAAUUGUUUUGUCUCAAAUAAAAUAUAAUCAAUUGUGAUUAUAGUACUAUCCUGAAUGGUAAGGAUGGGGUAGGGAGUAAGAUAUCAAAGGUAAUGUUUAGCUGCAGUCUUGUGAUCGCUAGCAGGCAAGUUGUUUCAAUCUGAAAGAACCAAAGAAACCUUUUUUCCUACAUGUUUUUUAACGUUGUGAGUCUAUUAGAAAAAGCACCACCUGAGAUUUUUAAUGCUUUCAUUGUGUCUGUUGACCUUUCCACAAAUCAUGAAAAUUCUGAUUCACAUACAGUAAAUUUCCAUGUAUUUUCUCCAAGCUUCCAGGUCUGCAGAAAAUUUAAUAAACUGCUUUGUGUGUGUUUAUACUUUAAAAUAUGUUCAAGGAAAAAUGACAUCCAUGUAAUUUAGGUACAUAACAACUUCUUCACUGCAUUGACCCUGAAGAUCAAAGAGCUACUGAAGGCAGUUGGAGCUACUGCAUUCUGAUUCAGCUUGAGAUUUACAGUACCGUGCAGAUCAUGUUUUACUUUACCCGAUCCAAUUCACCUACUAUCUCAGAGUAAGAUAUAAUUUCAGUAAGACAGCACUGUGUCCUUACAGAUCAAAACCAGCCAGAAGCAAACCAGAGAACUGGCAAACAGAAAGUACAGAAAAGAAUAGACUCUUCUUGCUGAUACAAUUAAAUAAAAGUCAAUUGUUGAACCAUUUGAUGUGUCUCACCUUUCUGCAUGAGAAAGCCAUAAAUAAUGUAAGGAGCAGAACUACAUUUCUUCAAAGUUCUGCACAAUAGUGUGUGUUGAAAACGACAUGCACAAGACACCAUCUGUGAAUAAAUGUUUAGUUUGACCUUAAGUUCAUGCAUAAAGAGCAAUAAAAAAUUAAGUAGAGAAAGAGAGAGAAAAAGAAAAGGAAGAGUAGGCAAAGCUUGUAUCUCUAUGAGUUUAUGUAAAACCACAGAGAGCCAAUAAAAAACCACAGAGAGCCACAGCAAGCCAUGGGAGUCAAUAUUGAUAGCUUUAGUAUUUUAGUACUUAGCUUUAGCUUUUAGUAUUUUUAGUACAAAAUAUUCACGACAGAAACUCUGAAGUAAUGUAUUGGAAUUUAGAAUCCAGGUCCCAAAUCUAAUUCCAGCCCCUUAGAUUAUUCUGGACACUCCUAUCUCUUUAAGCUGAGCUGUCAGAUAUUCAGUGUGAGCCAGAACUGGAUGGCUGAUGCUACAAAGAUCUACAUACAACACAGUAAACUUUCAUCAAAACUUAAAAAAAAAAAAAAUGCAAAACAAAUCUAAAACAUUAUAUACUAGAAAACCAGGCUAUGCAAAACUGUCUUUAGAAAGUUAAAACUAAACAUUCAGACACAAUAUUUCCCAACAAUUCCCUCCUGAGGCCAGGAUGCUAAGCACACUCCCUGCUGCGAACAUUAUCUCCAUUUCAGACAGUGCAGUGUGGGAGAUAGGUCACCCUAAUUCUCCAGUACAGUGGAUAACUCCCUAGAAAACUGCAUAAAAUGGUAAUUACUGCAACACAGCUUUGAGGGUAGGGGGAGAGUUUCUGCAGCACAACUUAGUUAUAUGUAGAGGCCACUAAGAAGUUGUCCUGCUGUUCCUAGGACUUACAUGACUCUCUGUGUUCACAGCACCCUGCUCUUUAUACACACACACAGCCUAGGGAAAGGGCUAAGGCUCAAGGCAUCCGAACAGAAAACUCCCGUACUAACUCCCUAUAACAUCAGUAUUUUUUUACAUCUCAUAAUUGUGCAGGAUCCACAGGCAUAUCCAAAUGUUAUCCCCAACUCAUUUACAAUAAUCAGGGGCAUAUCUGACUGAGGAAGAAGGUCGUUUUUUUGUCAGUGUUACCACCAUUCCAUAAAAGAAAAUCUAGCAAAAUAUUCUGAUACCCAACCACUGCACCCAGGACGAGAAUUGAAGCCAGCAUGAAUGGAUUUCUGCACAUGAAGUGGGUUAUUUCAUUUAGUUGUGGUGAGACUCCUCUCAUCCUCACCACUCAUAUGUUUUAUUUGUUCUCUGGUCAAAAAAUGCCAGAUCUCCAAACCAAACCAUAUUACAUAUUACUGAGAGCUUCCUGCUAGAAGAGGGAAAGAAUAGAACAGGAAGAUAUUUUUUAUUAUAAACUGCUAAAAAUGGAGACAAGAGCAUGACCUGUGGGGUCUGUGGUCAUCCUCUGAGAUUUGAGUGCCUUCAGUAUGUGAAGAGGCCAGACAGAAGCUUCUGACUGGUUGGACAUGGCUCGAGAUGUCUGUUGAAACAAAGAUCUAGCUUCAGAGGAAUUAGGUGGCUGUACUGGAUGACUAAACAGGGAAUUUUCCACUGAUGCUGGCAGAUGGGCACCUGGCUUCACCGGCACCCACUACAUUCAUCUUGUAAGUCUGUUGGCAGCCACUGUGGCAUAUGUAUUGCCGCGGAGUAGCUAAUAUUUUCAAUUAUCUGUUGACCUGCCCCAGAACCGCAAGAAAUCUUGGAGCAGGAUUCACCCAGAUCUUUAUAAACUUGUAACUGUUCAGUUCCAUAAGAAAUAUAUUAAACUGUGUGCAUUCCUGAAUCUCCUUGCAGUGCAAUGGAGUGGGUGAUACCAGUCAAGAGCAUAAUACGUACUAACUAUUAAGAUCUCCCUGCACUCUAGAUGGUCAGUAGCUCACUAUAUGCUCUAAUUUCCAUCAUUUUUUGGUCUUUCCAAGUUCAGUACCUACUGUUUCCUAGUAUAUUACAAGGAUACAUUUCUUAAGUCGGAAGGAUGGAGAAGUUGAUGUUGCUUUUAAUCAUAGAUUCACCAAAUCACAGAAGGUUGAGAUUGGAAGGAACCUCUGAGAAACUACCGGUACAACAUUCCUACUCAAGUAAGAUUCCCUAGAGCACAUUAGUCAAGAUUGUGUCCAGAUAGUUUUUGAAUAUCUCCAGGGAAGGAGAUAUAUAUAUAAAGGAUAUAUGAGGGGAAAAAAAGAAAAAGGUUAAAAAAAAAAAAAAAACAAAACACUAAAGAAAAGAUUAUAAGACUUAUAGAUCUUUUAAGAAUUGUCAUCGGAAGCAAUGUUUGAAGUCAACCAAGACAUGAAAUGAAGCAGAGAAGCAGAAAGGCCUGAGAUACAACCUGUUUUGUAUAGGGUCUAGAAAUAUUGCCAAUGAGCUCUGUUGUGAGAAAAUGUUACCUGCUAAUUUUGAGGAUUUUUUCAGUCUGUAGUUGCAGUUGCAUUUAAUGAGCUGGCUGAAUCUCUUCUCAGUUUCAAUUGCGAGUGUAUUCUUGACUCAUAUAUUCUGUGCUAAGGAACCACAGGAUAACACUUGUUUGUAUAGAAGAGAGAUGACAUAGGAGCUAGGUCAUCUGUCUAAGUGAUAACAGAAAUAUUUCUGCUGUCCUUCAGUAAGUAACACAGUCCUCAGACUGAACUACAACUUACACCUAUUUUACUAAACUUUAACCAGUAGGGUGACCGGAGCACUGGAGGUGGGAUUUAUGGGAAGCUGGGAGGGAGAGUAGUGUACAAAGGAAUAAAGUUUGCACAUGAAAGCCACAGCAACAAAAGAAGUCAUAGCAUGAAUGAAAUCAGCUUCACAUAGCAAGGGAAGACUACAAACUACAGGCAUGGGAGUGAGAAACUGCAGGUUUCCUUUAAAAAUUGCAUAUAAGAACUACUAUUAUUUGGUAAAACAGACACAGAAAAAAAGGUGUUCCUGUCCCUGAGGGCACAAAACUGGCAGAAGCAGGCAUGAAAAUUGCCUGCUGAGCUCUGUCUUAACAGAUGACCAGAUGCAAAAAGGAAAAGACAAAAACCACAGUGGUGGAUCAGAGCUAAAGUAAGUUAGAGCCCAAGCACUGAGAACAGGGGAAGGAGAGGAAUCUAACUGUCUGACCUCACAGGCAAUUUACCAGAUCAGAACCUAUAAACAGGCUAAUUCUGACAUAAUCACAUCCAUAAACAUGUCCCCCAGAGCAGCUGACACACAUACCUCCCAGAUACUUUCCUCAACCUCAAACAUUGCUCACACAAUGUCUUUUGAUACUCCGUUGGACAAGCAGCCUGCCUGCACAAUAACAUAAAAAUACUUGUACAAUCAAGUUAAGUGAAGGCUUAGCAUUAUGUAGGAUUAAUUUAUAUGUUGUGCAGUGGUGUAAUUUGAAGUUUGUAUUUUUGUAAGGUGUUUUGGUUUUCUUCAACUCUCUGAUGGCAUCUACAAAGAACAAUAUACUCAGUUACACUGGUAUACAGCACAGUGACCUAAAGCUUUGUUCACCAAAGGUUAUAAGAUUCACCCAUUCUAAGGCCAAAAGAAACCACAGUAAUUGUAUCCCCCAAGAUAAUUGAAGAAAUGGAAUAAUCAAAGCCAACAAGAUAUGUUCUUGACCCAAGACAAAAAAGACUCUUAAGUGUUAUUACUGACCUUACCCUGGCAUGUCCUUAAUUUUCCAAUAAAUUAUUUUAUUCCCUUUUUCAGACUUCUUACUUUAUCAUGUAAAGUUAAAAUAACUCUGCAUAGAUGAAACACAUAGGGAAACAAGAAUGACUGCAACAGGAGAAAAGUGCUCAAAGGGACUUCAGUAUAAUAAGUGAACAACUGGUGCUAUUAGUGUGUCUCUGCAGUCCUACAAUCCUUUCCCACAACGUAGGUGAUUGCUGCCAGGCCUAAGAAAGUGUCAAUUAUGAUUUAUCUUUUGCAAUUUAUACAGUAGUAACUAAAUAUAUUUCAUUUAACUAUUUUCAGAGCAAAGCCAUUUUGCUUAGAAGAAAGUCCCCAUCUUCAGUAAAACUGCUGAAACUUAAAGCCUCCCUUAAGACUGUUCCUAAUAUUAAGUCCAUUUCAUCCUUUAGCACACCCCUGGCACAGGCAGAAAAAAUGUUCACUACAGUUCUUGAAAUAGAGGGAUGUUGAAACCUAACCUGUGAACAACCUUUCCGCUUUCACUGCUAAAUGUUACAACUACCCUUUAUUUCUUGACGGCCUGCAUUCUUGGCUCCCAGGUGUAAAUUCUUUGGAAAUCUGAGAUGCAAGGCUUUCAACUGUACUCUGAAAGCUCUAAAUAUCAGGCACAAUUUCCUUUUCUUUUAAUGGGUGGGUUGUCAUGGAAACAUUGCAGUGGACUCUGGGCUUCAUACUUAAAACUCUCGAGGUUUCUGGCAGUUCCCUGAUGGGUCCUGUCAACCUCUCUUUUCACAGGAAGUGGUAAUAAAAAUUCACUUUCCUGUUCAGUGAACCUUGAAUGAACUGAAGGAGAACAACCUCAAAUCCACUUGUUUCCUCUCACUCCAAAUUUCAUAUGCAUGACUGAUAGCAUGCUGCUUAACCCUUUCUGUAAAUUUGUAAACAGCUGAGAUGGGUAAAAGUUAAAAGUUCUGUAUUAUUACAUCGUCUUGAAAGUCAUUAGAUUUUCCAAUGAAACAGGUAUAAAGAGCUACCUUCUUACAGAUUUAUAAAUGCUGACCUCUGAAAUUGGAGAGCUAAAAGGUAAAGGGACAAAACCUCAGUAGUUUUAGCCAGAAUGUAUUUUUUCUUCAUCAAUUUAUUUCCUGAGCUAAAAAAAAUAAAUUCAAAGAACUGGCAGAAUGAGAUUAAUUUCCUGUUUUCUGGCUUCUAAUAUAUUUCCCUCUGUAAAUGUCAUACAUACGUAUGUCGUGUUAGUGAGACAAAGACAAUAAGAAAACCUAAGCAUCCUUUUCCAGUACACAAUUAGGUAUUUUUCAGCAAGGGUCAUAUACUCAUAAAGUUCUCUUGCUGUAUAUAACUUCACUGUUAUGAAAUGUCUUUUUAGUUUGCUUUCUUUUAUUUAUUUAUUUAUUUUUAUGAGGACUAUCCCCUCAAGGCUCCUUUUAUUGCUGAGGACAGAUUCCUGCAAUUUAUCUUGAACAGGAUCACCAAAAUGCCUGCAAAUAAUCAGGCACCUAUGCUGCUUUUUAUCCUUUUCCUAUAUUUCUCAAUUUCACAGAUGUCACUUUUAAUGCACUGACACAAAUAGUGUAUACUAAGCUAUCAUGUCCUUCUCAUGGAUGACCUUAGAUACAUCUGCAAGGGAAAGCAAGAACUACUUGAAACUGGUGGUUGUUGAGAGUUUGCUAGCUUAAAUCAGAAUCUUGGUAACAACUGUGGGAUCAUUUUGCAACUCUAGCAGCUCCAGUUUGUGCCCAGCCUCCCCGAAAGAUGAGUGACACAUAGCAUAUGUUAACUGUUGUGCUCCCUUGCUACCAGACAGCUUUCCACUACAUUACACAGAGAUGUUCUUAACUUUACCAUCUUUCCCCAGUGUUAGGUUCACUGAGGGGAACCCCAAUAGAUUUAGACAGACAGACAGACAGACAGAUAAGAAAAUAAAUGUUGUAGGUCCCUAUCCAGCAAUAUCUGAGCCUAAUAAUGAACAGGAGAACAGGUAAAUUUGCUUGCUGAUAGUUGUAAAUUCAACAUAAUACUAUGUAAUCCUGCUGAGAAGCUUUGCAUGAUUAAAAAGUUAGAAACCUCUGUUUCAAGUAUUUAGAAAGGAUUAAAUGGAAUAAGGAGAGAAGAAAAUGAGGAGGCAUUACUUGUCACUGACAACUCAUAAGCAAUGUUUACAGGUCAUUGUCCAAAUAGAUAAAAGUAAAUGGGCUCAGAUUUAGUGCUUCCUUUCCUCUGUCAAUUUAUGUCAAUUUACAUAAGAAAAUCCCACCUAUAUAUCCUUGCAUGCAGUAUGUAAAGAGGAAAAACUAUACCUAUAUCUGCUUUAUUUUAAGAAACUUUGUUGUCAGAGAGUUACAUUGCAUUUGCUAUCUGAAAUACUGCUGACUAGAUUGUUCCUGAGCAUUCUGCUAGGAAUAUUUCUACAUUUAUGUGAAACGCAUUGUGGUAUAUGAAUGGGAACUGAUUGAAAAUCUAAAUGAACAAAACCGAUCACAACUUGAGCAGACUAAAAUCCUGAUGCAUAGUUAGAUACUUACUGUUUGGAAAGGGGCAGUUUCACAAAAAUGAGAAUAGUUGAUCUAGAGAACUGAGUGGUCACAUCCUGGCCCAGAAGUGCAGAAAAAGCCACCAGUCUCAGUGAAGGCCUCUGUUUAGAGGACUGAAGAAGAAUCAGAGAAGGGAAGCUCAAGUAGGAUGUAAACAAUGACUAGAUAAUGAAAUGUUUUCUUCUGAUGUUAAAAUCUAAGAAAGUGGUUAUCAUUGUGUGAACCUCAAAACCUUCAUAUCCCUUCUUCAGGCCCACACCACCACCACAGUGGAUUUUCAUUCUUUCAUCAAAUGGACCAUGUCUGUAAAACUACUGGACUGUGCUUUACUGAUACAACACUCCUUAUUCAAGUACAGUGCCUGCACUCAGAUUUCACAGUCGAGUUGGUACAUUUUUAUCUGCACUACUGUCUCAGUAUGCACUGACGCACAAGCUGACUUCUGAUUCAGUGACGUCACACCACUGUGUGGAUAUAAGCCUUCUCUAGAUCAAUAGCACCAGUGUGUCCACUACCUCACUUCCCUAGGAUCUAUAUAAUAGUCUUCCUAAAGUAAUGCAACUGGACAUGCUCUAAAGUGCA
ensembl:lncRNA